AGGACUAACGCUGGCGGCGUGCCUAACACAUGCAAGUCGAACGAGAAAGUGGGAGCAAUCCCACGAGUAAAGUGGCGCACGGGUGAGUAACACGUGACUAACCUACCCUUGAGUGGGGGAUAACCUAGGGAAACCUGGGCUAAUACCGCAUAAUACCUACGGGUCAAAGGAGCAAUUCGCUUUAGGAGGGGGUCGCGGCAGAUUAGUUAGUUGGCGGGGUAAUGGCCCACCAAGACAGUGAUCUGUAUCCGGCCUGAGAGGGCGCACGGACACACUGGAACUGAAACACGGUCCAGACUCCUACGGGAGGCAGCAGUGGGGAAUUUUGCGCAAUGGGGAAACCCUGACGCAGCAACGCCGCGUGGAGGAUGAAGCCCUUGGGCGUAAACUCCUUUCGAUCGGGAAGAUAAUGACGGUACCGGAAGAAGAAGCCCCGGCUAACUUCGUGCCAGCAGCCGC
rnacentral:rRNA from 1 species